UUUAUACGUCGAAUUUUGGUCGCGUCGAAUGCAAUUAAGACAAUGAGAUUAUAAACUUCAUUCUGCUUCAUUAUCUACUGUUUGAAUUGCAUUCGACGCGACCGAAAUUCGACGUAUAAA